CACUGCACAUCCAACAUUUCAACACAUUUGGCACUCGGUUAUUAUGGAGGAAGAACUGCAGCAAGCUAAAAACGACCGAGCACAGGCCAAGAGGACUUUCACGAGAAAAUGCAACAUAUUCGAGGACACUGUUGGACAAGCGAGUGCUUCAACAGCGUUGACCGAGGUUUAUGAAGAAGUCUGUAAAGCUUUUGAUAAGGUUGAAGUUUGCCAUGAGAGGACUGCAUUUCUGUGGAUUUCUUGUUGUGCGCUGCCGAGUCUGGGUAACUGAGUGAGACGAGUGUAUUCAAGACGGUUGUCUUUUUACGAACAGUCGCCGUCCGAGACACACCCGCUGUCUGGAAGGGUUAUUGCUUCCUUGUGUUAAGAGGAAAUGGUGACGGAUUAUUGGUGUCCAGUGAAAGGCUUGGAGAGAAAAUGUGUUAGUACUUAACUUUAUUAUAAUAUUUUAAAUGAUUGUUUCCGGUGUGGUGUUAUUCUUAGAGUAAUUGCGUGGUAAUGCUUGGUAGUAACUACCUAGUUUACUACCUUUCUGAUUUCCAUUCAAUAUGUUUGUAAGUUUAUAAUGUUAAGUUAGCUUUAAAGUUUUUGUAAUUAUUAGUAAUGGAUAAUUGUUCUAUUUAUGUUCACGUAAUUUGCUGCUAUCAUUGUUUAAUGCUUUUUUCUACUAUCUUUGUUUAUACUUCAAGUUUAUUUGAAUUACUUAAUUAUCUCAUUAUGGUUUGUACUUUCCAAGAAUAGUUUUGUGAAUUGUAGUUUUUUCACUUAAUAAUAUUUAUUUAGGAAUUUUUAGUAUUUUGGAUUACUUAUGUUUCAGGUUGAAACGCAUCAAUAAAGGGCAUUGCAACAUC